UGAUGAAAUGUACAACGCGUACUUUCCUUCAUGCCACCAACCAGGUGAUGAAAUGUACAACGCGGACUCUCCUUCAUGUCACCAACCAGGUGAUGAAAUGUGAUGAAAGGUGAUUAAGGAAUUCACAUUCGUACCACCAACCAAGUGAUGAAAGCAACCCACCAUUCAUUCUACUAACCAGAAGACUAGUGGUACAACUUGUACAUGUGAACUCCUAGCAUUCACAAAUAAUCAAAAACCAUCAAGCUUUACAACUCAACUAGGGGAACACUUAUGCCUAACAAGAGCUAUAGUCACCAACAAAGUCUUAUUGCAAGCCAACAAUGGCUUCAGUGCAUGGUAUACGAAGAUCAAGCUCUUCAGCCCUCUUGCAUCUGCUUCAGACAUUUCUCCUCUGUAAUAAUGCAAACACUACAACUCAUAGAAAGCUUCACACGCUCUUGAUCAAGACUGUUCGAAGCAAAUUCAAUUUAUAUGGUUCAUCCAAACCUUCGACUACUACAAGAUGUGGUUUGCAUCACAAUCUUUCGCUUAACAGUAUGGAAGCAAAAUUUGUAUACGUUGUCUCUCCCACAUUUUCAAAUUUCUAGUUUUUCCAAAAAAAAAAAAAAAAAAAAAAGGAAAUUGGAAAUUGGGAAAUUCAACAAAGCUUCAUCAAUGGAACACAACUACAAUCCUCAAAAGCUUCGCACUAUCUUCAUCAAGAUAGUGUGAAGCAAAAUCAAUUUAUGGUGCCAACAAAAGCUUCAUCAAUGGAGGACAAAUAUCAAUCUCAAAAGCUUUGCACUAGCUUCAUCAAGAUAGUGUGAAGCAAAAUCAAUUUAUGGUGCCAACCAAAGCUUCAUCAAUGGAGGACAAAUAUCAAUCUCAAAAGCUUUGUACUAUCUUCAUCAAGAUAGUGUGAAACAAAAUCAAUUUAUGGUGCCAACAAAAGCUUCAUCAAUGGAGGACAAAUAUCAAUCUCAAAAGCUUUGCACUAUCUUCAUCAAGAUAGUGUGAAGCAAAAUUAAUUUAUGGUGCCAACAAAAGCUUCACCUAUAAAGCUUCAACCCCAAAGCUUCACCUAUAAAGCUUUAACACCAAAAGUUUCACCUAUAAAGCUUCAACCCUUCAACACCAAAGCUUCACCUAUGAAGCUUUAACACCAAAAGCUUCACCUAUAAAGCUUCAACCCUUCAACACCAAAACUUCACCUAUAAAGCUUCAACCCUUCAACACCAAAGCUUCACCUAUAAAGCUUCAACACCAAAGCUUCACCUAUCAACCUUCAACCCCAAAGCUUCACCUACAAUACAGAAUUUCAACACCAAAACAUAUAAAAGCUUCACACACUCUUCAUCAAGAUAGUGUGAAGCAAAAUCAAUUCAUGAUGCCCAACAAAGAUUCAACCUCAAAGCUUUACCUACAAAGCUUCAACACCAAAGCUUCA
rnacentral:lncRNA from 1 species